rnacentral:rRNA from 1 species
GACGAACGCUGGCGGCGUGCCUAAUACAUGCAAGUAGAACGCUGAAGGCGGAGCUUGCUCUUCUGGAUGAGUUGCGAACGGGUGAGUAACGCGUAGGUAACCUGCCUGGUAGCGGGGGAUAACUACUGGAAACGAUAGCUAAUACCGCAUAACAGUAGAUGCUGCAUGAUAUUUGCUUAAAAGGUGCAAUUGCUCCACUAGCAGUUGGACCUGCGUUGCAUUAGCUAGUUGGUGGGGUAACGGCUCACUAAGGCGAGGAUGCAUAUCCGAACGGAGAGGGUGGGCGGCCGGACUGAGAGUGAGACACGGCCCAUACGCCUACGGGAGGCAGCAGGAGGGAUUCUGGAGCAAUGGGCGGAAGUCUGACCGCGCAACGCGGCGGGAGUGAGGAGGGUUGUCGGAUCGUAGAGCUCUGUUGUAGGAGAAGAACGAGUGUGAGAGUGUAAAGAUCACUGUGUGACGGUAUCGGACCAGAAAGGGACGGCUAACUACGUG